UUUGUAAUUCUGAAGACGUUAAGCCUGAACUCCAUGGCUUCUGAGCCACGGGUUGGGGACCGGUCUGGCAGAGAAUUGGACAGCCCCACGGGGAGCCAGGCCAGAUGUCCAGGAGGCAGUGUGGACACAGAGCACUCCUGCAGAGGAAGAGCUGUCCACCCCAGCGCAGAUCUCUCCAGGCCACCAUUCCCAUUGGGAACUGGAUUUCACACUCACCACCUCAUGCCAAACCCUGAGGAAGUGAUAGGUGUUGUGAUAUGGACUGAACCAGAUGCCUUAUGAAGGGGUAGCAUACUGCACUUUGAUCUACUUGGUCCCUGAACUAUGAAAAGCUCAAGGCCAGUAUAGGCAGUAGUUGGUUUCUGCUUUGGGCCCUGCCUGUGCCAACCCAAGUCUACAAUCAGAAGACCAUAUUCAUAAGGUUACUUGUUCUUAUACUGACGGUGCCUUCAUGCCAUAGCACGAGACUCGGAAAAGUCUGUGUGACUGAUGUGGACGGUACAUUAAUAUAUGUAUCUCCUUAAUAUGACAUGAAAACAAUGGUCCUGGGAUCAUAAUCAUGCUAUGCUGGCUUGGGUGUCCAACAGCGUGUCCUGAUAGUGUUCCAGCACUAGCAGAACACAUCUGUCACAUCUCUUCUGUCCUCUGAGCACCACUAAGGUCCCAGGACAGACAUUUUAAUGUGCCCAAUCUGAAAAUAACAGAGAACCUUCUUCCACUCUGGGGUGAGAAGAGUACCCCAGAAGCCCAUGCUUCCCAACCCACCGACAACAAUUCUGGGAAAGUGCAUUCCACCGGAUUCUUUGCUGGCCUCAGCCCCUGGAUCUGCUCAGACAAAACUGAGGAGGACUUCUCAGGUGACUCUGGCCAGCCUGGGAGGGAGAUCUGGCCUCUCACAUUGUGAUCCCCCUAAGACAACUGUAUCGUUCACCUGUACCCAUCCACAGGAAUUAAAAGCCACUGAUGACCUAGUCUUUUUACUGAGAGUCUUUUGGAGUGCCACAAACAUGAGCUGUUUCUGGAUGCCGCUCUUCUUCUGAAGCUGGUGAGCUGUGAUCUGGUCAUGAAAAAGGGCAAGAAGGCUGUCCCAGUCCCAUGCCCUCUCAAGGACACUCAGCUCUGUGGGACAGGAUGGAAGGCACCAGCCUCAACCAGCCCAUGUCCCGACCUGCAGCUGAUGACUCUAUGAGAUGGAGCCUCACCCCCACUGCUUGAAGGUUUAGUCCCCUCACCCCUCGGGAGAUCUCAUAACCCUCACAUUUAGACAGUUUUAGGGAGUUUGUGUCUUUUCCAUGAAACUAGAUGCUAGAGCCAGGAUGAAGGUAUAUGCCUAUAAUCCCAGGACUCUGAAGGCUUAGUCAGGAGACUAGCCAUAAAUUCAAGGCCAGCCUGGGCUAUAUAAGGAGCAGUAGUCUAGAUUUGGUGGCACUUUGAGAUCUCUCCCUCUCUCUCUAAAAUAUAGAAAGUAAACAACAGGACUAGUUGUCCAUGUGCCUUGCAUGCACGCUGGUUCUUGGCCCUGGUUCUUGCCCAGCAUAAAAUAAAACCAGGUGGAACAUGCUGGGAAUCCCAGUAUUGGAGGGUGGAGACAAGAGGAUCAGGCGGUCAAGGUCAUCUUCCAACAUGGAGAGUUGGAGGUCAGUCUAGGAGGAAUGGCACUAUUUUAAAAGCUAACAACCCCUACCCCAAAUCUUAAUGCCCAAAUCUGAGAAAACAGUGGCAUGGCAGCCCAUUACAACCACAUAUUCCAUGUGAAUCAGACCAUUCUGAUAGAAGAAAUUCGGGUGUCUAGAUGGGGAUUACAGUAAUUUUUUUCCUGCAACUCACAUCUGGAAUUGGCCUGAGCAUUGAGUUCAUCCCUGUCCACAGAACUGAAGAGUUCACUAAGUACUUCCUGCUGGCCCUGUGGGAGGCACUGGGGAGCUGUGUUGUAGUGCUCCCUGGUGAUCCUGUGGGAGGCAGUCUGGAGGAAGGUUUGGAGAGCAUGGAGACCCCAACCUGUGCCAAUAGGAAAGGCAGGAAGGCUGCUGGCCCUGCAACCUGUCAGAAACUCUGGUGUUGUGCUGCCCCCUUGUGGCACUUCUAUGCCAGUUUCCUGUUAGUGCACCUGGUUGGCUGAGGUCCCUGCUUCACCUGGUGUCAACAUCUGGGGUCGUUGGGUGGGUUUGUGGGUGGGGUGGGGGUAUGCUUGCUCGGAUACACCCAUCUAACAUGAUUUUGUCCUUCCUUCCUUUCAUUCCUUUUCCCCAUUAUCAUAAUAAAGGAACACAAUACCCUUCAUAGCUCUGCUGACCAGGAGAUGGCCUUGAAGAAAUUGCAUAGACACACACUGCUGUUCCAGGCUGUGUUGUUUAUAAGGCUAGACAACUGGGCAGCAAGUCAAGAGUGUGAAAUCGACACUCUGGGCCAGAUUCAGAAGCACAAGAGAACCAGGACAGUGACUGUCUGUUUUACAUUACCUGCUUUCCUUGUGAGAUAGGAAUUUGUUGCCCAGGAUGCAAGAAAAAGAGUGAGCAGGCUUGCUGAAGCUUGUCACCCCAGCACUCGGAGAUGGACACAGGUGCAUCUUCUUUUUUGUUUGGUUUUAUCUGUUGUGGUUUUUGUUUGUUUUUUCCCCCCAUAGACAGGAUUUCUUUGUUUGGCCCUGGCUCUGGAGACCAGGCUGGCCUUGAACUCCCAGAUAUCUCCCUUCCUCUGCCUCCCGAGUGCUGGGAUCAAAGGCAUGCUCCACCACCACCUCCAUCUGAUGAAGGUGCAUUAAUCUUGCUGGCCCUGAGAAAGCCUGUAUCCAAAACAUUUGUGUCCAGCAUCUGUGAAUUCAUAUUUGGAGGGAAUACAUGUGCUGCAUACAUACAAGUUUGAGCAAAAAUGUGUAUGUAUUCAAGGACACACAUGCACAAGCACACAAGUGUAAACAUAUAAUGUGUGAGUGAUCUGCACACACACUCAAGUAAAAAUAAUGAUAAAGGAUCAUAAAGUUAUUUGAAAAACUAGGUAGCUUUUUAGAAAACUUGACCUCCUGUGCAGGAACAUCCUUUUGAGCAAGACCUAGGAGAAUGAGACAGGGUGAUGCUGCUGAGAACACUGGGGUGGUGUCCUCUGAAUGCUCUAUGGUUGACAGAGCCCAGUAAGCCCAGAUUAGGAGACUCUUAUUAUUGCUAAGUAGAAUCCAGUUGGUGGGCUGACAAGGUGAUGCCAGAUUUGUUAGCAUAGAGGGUUACCUGGAGGUCUCACCUCUCUGCAGCACAAAACAGGUGCCUCUCAGAAGCCAAGAAGGAUAUCCCUGCACUCAGGAGCACAGUCCACCUUCAAUUCUACUGGCAUUGACCCUCCCCGCCCAAAAAAAAAAAAUUUCAAUAUGUUUUCUAUGUUGGAAAUAAAAUGGCAUUGUUAAAUGA